rnacentral:rRNA from 1 species
ACGAACGCUGGCGGCGUGCUUAACACAUGCAAGUCGAACGAUGAACCACUUCGGUGGGGAUUAGUGGCGAACGGGUGAGUAACACGUGGGUAAUCUGCCCUUCACUCUGGGACAAGCCCUGGAAACGGGGUCUAAUACCGGAUAUCACUUCCACUCGCAUGGGUGGGGGUUGAAAGCUCCGGCGGUGAAGGAUGAGCCCGCGGCCUAUCAGCUUGUUGGUGAGGUAACGGCUCACCAAGGCGACGACGGGUAGCCG